rnacentral:miRNA from 1 species
AUUGCACGGUAUCCAUCUGCGUUUU